rnacentral:rRNA from 1 species
AACGAACGCUGGCGGCAUGCCUAACACAUGCAAGUCGAACGAGACCUUCGGGUCUAGUGGCGCACGGGUUCGUAACGCGUGGGAACCUGCCCUUAGGUUCGGAAUAACUCCCCGAAAGGGGUGCUAAUACCGGAUAAUGUCUUCGGACCAAAGAUUUAUCGCCUUUGGAUGGGCCCGCGUUGGAUUAGCUAGUUGGUAGUGUAAAAGCCUACCAAGGCGACGAUCCAUAGCUGGUCUGAGAGGAUGAUCAGCCACACUGGGACUGAGACACGGCCCAGACUCCUACGGGAGGCAGCAGUGGGGAAUAUUGGACAAUGGGCGAAAGCCUGAUCCAGCAAUGCCGCGUGAGUGAUGAAGGCCUUAGGGUUGUAAAGCUCUUUUACCCGGGAUGAUAAGGACAGUACCGGGAGAAUAAGCUCCGGCUAACUCCGU